UUGAGGACAUAAAAAAGGGGGRAAAAAACAGGAUAAAGGUGCUAGUAAAGUUUGCAGCGAAAGAAAGAUCAGAAAGGUUUUUUWAAAAAGUCAUUACAGACUCUUGGAAAUGUUUUUUCCAUAGGAAGACAGCACUGUGAAUAAAAAUGACACUAAAUGUUGCAGGAGGCGCAGACUCGCAAAGGGUAACGGCUGGGACCGCUGCGACAGACGUAGCACUGAGGCGCUCCUGCUAUUUUUAGAGGUAAUAUUUUUAACACCAUACCUAGCUCCCCCUUUUGCUUUCUGGGCCAUUAACCUUCAG
ensembl:lncRNA